CCAAUAGCGUAUAUUAAAGUUGUUGCAGUUAAAAAGCUCGUAGUUGAAUUUCGGGAUCAAUAUGUCGGUCGUGCCUUCGGUACGUACUGGUAUCAUUGGUCUCUCCUUUCUGACGAACCAUGAUGUCAUUAAUUUGGUGUUAUGGGGAGUUAGGACUGUUACUUUGAAAAAAUUAGAGUGUUUAAAGCAGGCUUUAGCUUGAAUCCAUUAGCAUGGAAUAAUGAACUAGGACGUUCGAACCUAUUUGGUUGGUUUCUAGGAUCAACGUAAUGAUUAAUAGGGAUAGUUGGAGGCAUUAGUAUUCAAUUGUCAGAGGUGAAAGUCUUGGAUUUAUUGAAGACUAACUACUGCGAAAGCAUUUGCCAAGGAUGUUUUCAGUAAUCAAGAACGAAAGUUAGGGGAUCGAAGACGAUCAGAUACCGUCGUAGUCUUAACCAUAAACUAUGCCGACUAGGGAUCGGAUGAUGUUAUUUUUAAUGACUCAUUCGGCGCCUUACG
rnacentral:rRNA from 1 species